rnacentral:rRNA from 1 species
AGAUUGAACGCUGGCGGCAUGCCUUACACAUGCAAGUCGAACGGCAGCGCGGGAGCAAUCCUGGCGGCGAGUGGCGAACGGGUGAGUAAUAUAUCGGAACGUGCCCAGUAGUGGGGGAUAGCCCGGCGAAAGCCGGAUUAAUACCGCAUACGACCUGAGGGUGAAAGCGGGGGAUCGCAAGACCUCGCGCUACUGGAGCGGCCGAUAUCAGAUUAGCUAGUUGGUGGGGUAAAGGCCUACCAAGGCAACGAUCUGUAGUUGGUCUGAGAGGACGACCAGCCACACUGGGACUGAGACACGGCCCAGACUCCUACGGGAGCAGCAGUGGGGAAUUUGGACAAUGGGCGCAAGCCUGAU